AACGAAAAGAGGGAAAGAGCUUGCUCUUUCCGGAAUUGAGUGGCAAACGGGUGAGUAACACGUAAACAACCUGCCUUCAGGAUGGGGACAACAGACGGAAACGACUGCUAAUACCGAAUAAGCUCCAAGAGCCGCAUGGCCCAUGGAAGAAAAGGUGGCCUCUACCUGUAAGCUAUCGCCUGAAGAGGGGUUUGCGUCUGAUUAGCUGGUUGGAGGGGUAACGGCCCACCAAGGCGACGAUCAGUAGCCGGUCUGAGAGGAUGAACGGCCACACUGGAACUGAGACACGGUCCAGACUCCUACGGGAGGCAGCAGUGGGGAAUCUUCCGCAAUGGGCGAAAGCCUGACGGAGCAACGCCGCGUGAGUGAUGACGGCCUUCGGGUUGUAAAACUCUGUGAUCCGGGACGAAAAGGCAGAGUGCGAAGAACAAACUGCAUUGACGGUACCGGAAAAGCAAGCCACGGCUAACUACGUGCCAGCAGCCGCGGUAAUACGUAGGUGGCAAGCGUUGUCCGGAAUUAUUGGGCGUAAAGCGCGCGCAGGCGGCUUCCCAAGUCCCUCUUAAAAGUGCGGGGCUUAACCCCGUGAUGGGAAGGAAACUGGGAAGCUGGAGUAUCGGAGAGGAAAGUGGAAUUCCUAGUGUAGCGGUGAAUGCGUAGAGAUUAGGAAGAACACCGGUGGCGAAGGCGACUUUCUG
rnacentral:rRNA from 1 species